ACUUUGUUGUCGGUGAAUAGAUCGUUGGAACAACUGAAGAAAACAAAAAAAAAACACCAACAAACCAACUAUAAAAAUCCCAUGCAGAAGAAAAACAGCCUUUGGUCGAGAAGGCACAUACACAUUUCGCCCAGUCAUCGAAACAUGAUUAGAUUCGACUAUGACUGCCGAUUGAACUCGACGCCAUCGUCAUCAUUAUCAGAGCUAGGUUUGCGGUCCUUGGAAGGGUGCCCAAGAGAAACCGUCGUCGUGGUGGACCAAGCAAGAGCGCGGUAGGGGUGGAUACGGUUACCAUUCCGACCAGCCAGUCAGCCCCGCGUAUGGAACAUCAGGGUGGAGUUUUUUCUAGAAACAUUACGAAUAAGCGCCCGACACAUCUCGUACCCUAUGCAGAUGCAGCGAAGGUCUUCUCCGCCCGCCGCGCGGGUAGCUCCGUAUGAUCUCUCACGGGAAAUCAAAAAUUGCAAUAAGAUUGCCGAAGGAAC